GAUGAACGCUGGCGGCGUGCUUAACACAUGCAAGUCGAACGAAGAAGGUUAGAAUGAGAGCUUCGGCAGGAUUUCUUUCCAUCUUAGUGGCGGACGGGUGAGUAACGUGUGGGCAACCUGCCCUGUACUGGGGAAUAAUCAUUGGAAACGAUGACUAAUACCGCAUGUGGUCCUCGGAAGGCAUCUUCUGAGGAAGAAAGGAUUUAUUCGGUACAGGAUGGGCCCGCAUCUGAUUAGCUAGUUGGUGAGAUAACAGCCCACCAAGGCGACGAUCAGUAGCCGACCUGAGAGGGUGAUCGGCCACAUUGGGACUGAGACACGGCCCAAACUCCUACGGGAGGCAGCAGUGGGGAAUAUUGCACAAUGGGCGAAAGCCUGAUGCAGCAACGCCGCGUGAAGGAUGAAGGGUUUCGGCUCGUAAACUUCUAUCAACAGGGAAGAAACAAAUGACGGUACCUAAAUAAGAAGCCCCGGCUAACUACGUGCCAGCAGCCGCGGUAAUACGUAGGGGGCAAGCGUUAUCCGGAAUUACUGGGUGUAAAGGGAGCGUAGGCGGCAUGGUAAGCCAGAUGUGAAAGCCCUUGGUGCUUAACCCGUAGGGAUUUGCAUUUUGGAAGCUAUCCAAGACUAGAUGUACCAGGAGAUGGAAAGACGGAAUUUCCUAGUGUAGCGGUGAAAUGCGUAGAUAUUAGGAAGAACACCAGUGGCGAAGGCGGCUUUCUGGACUGAAACUGACGCUGAGGCUCGAAAGCGUGGGGAGCAAACAGGAUUAGAUACCCUGGUAGUUUACGCCGUAAACGAUGAGUGCUAGGUGUCGGGGAGGAAUCCUCGGUGCCGCAGCUAACGCAAUAAGCACUCCACCUGGGGAGUACGACCGCAAGGUUGAAACUCAAAGGAAUUGACGGGGGCCCGCACAAGCGGUGGAGCAUGUGGUUUAAUUCGAAGCAACGCGAAGAACCUUACCAAGGCUUGACAUCCCGAUGACCGUCCUAGAGAUAGGACUUCUCUUCGGAGCAUCGGUGACAGGUGGUGCAUGGUUGUCGUCAGCUCGUGUCGUGAGAUGUUGGGUUAAGUCCCGCAACGAGCGCAACCCUUAUCUUCAGUAGCCAUCAUUCAGUUGGGCACUCUGGAGAGACUGCCGUGGAUAACACGGAGGAAGGUGGGGAUGACGUCAAAUCAUCAUGCCCCUUAUGUCUUGGGCUACACACGUGCUACAAUGGCUGGUAACAAAGUGACGCAAGACGGCGACGUUAAGCAAAUCACAAAAACCCAGUCCCAGUUCGGAUUGUAGUCUGCAACUCGACUACAUGAAGCUGGAAUCGCUAGUAAUCGCGAAUCAGCAUGUCGCGGUGAAUACGUUCCCGGGCCUUGUACA
rnacentral:rRNA from 1 species